GACGAACGGCUGGCGGCAUGCCUAACACAUGCAAGUCGAACGGAGUUCUUAAAUGGAUUCUUCGGAAUGAAGCUUUGAAACUUAGUGGCGAACGGGUGAGUAACGCGUGAGAAACCUGCCUUUCAGUGGGGGACAACAGUUGGAAACGACUGCUAAUACCGCAUAAGCCUACAGAACCGCAUGGUUCAGUAGGAAAAAACUCCGGUGGUACAAGAUGGGCCCACGUCUGAUUAGCUAGUUGGUGGGGGUAAAGGCCUACCAAGGCGACGAUCAGUAGCCGGCUUGAGAGAGUGAACGGCCACAUUGGGACUGAGACACGGCCCAAACUCCUACGGGAGGCAGCAGUGGGGAAUAUUGCACAAUGGGGGAAACCCUGAUGCAGCAACGCCGCGUGAGUGAAGAAGUAUUUCGGUAUGUAAAGCUCUAUCAGCAGGGAAGAAAAUGACGGUACCUGACUAAGAAGCACCGGCUAAAUACGUG
rnacentral:rRNA from 1 species